GCACUGCUACUUGGGCGGAGUGAUUAUUACUCCAACGAAGCGAACUCUCUGCUCCUCUCCAAAAGGCUUCUCAGGUGCUGCGAGCAAAUCACUCCGCCCAAGUAGCAGAAGUAGCAGUGCUUCGCCUGCUGUGGAGAAUAGUUCCAAGCAUGUAUACGGUUAGAAGAUGGCUGGGUGUCAUGUGACCUUGGUAUUUGUCCAUGCUGUGACUAUAUAAACAGGAACAUGGAAAUUGGAAAUUGUUG